UACGUAGGGGGCAAGCGUUGUCCGGAAUUAUUGGGCGUAAAGAGCGCGUAGGCGGUCCGAUAAGUCGGCUGUGAAAGUCCAGGGCUCAACCCUGGAAAGCCGGCCGAUACUGUCGGACUAGAGUCCGGAAGAGGCAAGUGGAAUUCCCGGUGUAGCGGUGAAAUGCGCAGAUAUCGGGAGGAACACCGGUGGCGAAGGCGGCGACCUGGGUAGAUACUGACGCUGAGGCGCGAAAGCGUGGGGAGCAAACAGGG
rnacentral:rRNA from 1 species